rnacentral:rRNA from 1 species
UAGGGAAUCUUCGGCAAUGGGGGCAACCCUGACCGAGCAACGCCGCGUGAGUGAAGAAGGUUUUCGGAUCGUAAAGCUCUGUUGUAAGAGAAGAACGUGUGUGAGAGUGGAAAGUUCACACAGUGACGGUAACUUACUAGAAAGGGACGGCUAACUACGUGCCAGCAGCCGCGGUAAUACGUAGGUCCCGAGCGUUGGCCGGAGUUUUUGGGCGUAAAGCGAGCGCAGGCGGUUUAAUAAGUCUGAAGUUAAAGGCAGUGGCUUUACCAUUGUUCGCUUUGGAAACUGUUAAACUUGAGUGCAGAAGGCGAGAGUGGAAUUCCCUGUGUGGCGGUGAAAUGCGUAGAUAUAUGGAGGAACACCUGUGGCGAAAGCGGCUCUCUGGUCUGUAACUGACGCUGAGGCUCGAAAGCGUGGGGAGCAAACAGG